CCAAGGCUUCUGUUGGGUUUAGCAAGUUGUGAGCAAAAGCUGUUGUCACACCUCUGAAGAAAGUGAUGCCAUGGUCAUCUUUCCACAGCGAGGGUUGGACAUACUUUAACUGAGUGAUCGUACUCCAGGAUGCUCUCUUGAUUGAGCUGCGUGGGGGAGAUCUUAUCUCUACACGCCACCAGCAGCCAGGAGAUACCCAGAGAAAGCUCCAUUUUGGGUACAGAAUGAGUUUAGGGACUCUCUAUGGAGAGUCUCUGUAAGAUGGUGUCUGGGCCCUGAGCAGCCUCAUCUGGAGACUCCUACUUGCCUCAGUUUUGGACAAUGGAAAGACGGAAAGAAAGUUUACUUUUCUGUGGCUUUCUCCCUUUUUUGACCUAUGAAUCAUAGAAAGCAGAUGUAAUUUUUAUUUACAUAUGUCGUAUGUUGCCUUUGAGACUUUGGAAAGAAGAUAGAAUUUGAGAGUCACCUCAAGGGGACUCUUCAUUCCCUCGUGUCAACUUGUCACUGAGUCAGGUCAAGGGCACAGCCCAGGGAGAGGCGGCCCUGGUCAGGUCAGCACCCAGAUGGGUUGGUGCAGCUUAAGGGCCCAGGGAGCUCUGUGCAGCUUCAUCCCCAGCUGCACAGAGCAGGAUGCACUCUGGGGGCGGCACAUGAGGCACUGCGGGUCCAGCUCUGGUGCAAACAGAGAGUGAAGGGCUGCAUCUGCCUGUUAAACGCUGCAUACAGUACAGAUCUUCGUGCUGUUGGAAGUAUUUUUCAGAUGUAUUUCCUAAACCAAGAAGAGUGUAGCACAGAUUACUUCUCAAGAAGUGCUUCACUGUUGCUGCUGGAAAGAAGGAAAGCUAAGCAAGGAACAGGAUGCAGGUUUCCUUAGCUGUCUGAAUAGUAAUGCCAUGGCUGGAGACACUGGAUUUUUCUGGAAUAAACAGAAGGACCCGUAGUGUUAGGCA
rnacentral:lncRNA from 1 species